AGACAUUAAUUAUUUUUUUCCAAAUCUAGCCUUGCUCUAAUAAUAUUGACAUAAAAAGUCUGAGGAGCGAUAAAGGGUAACUUGAAGAGAUAUAAAGGGUAACAUUGUCAAAUAACCCUUAUAAUUAUUGUUAUUAAAUGGUUUUCUUAAUGGGUGUGCCAUAACCUUAAUAGACAUUUAAACUGGAUUAGAGGUAGUAGUAUAUAAAUGCCUUAUGUCUCUGAUCGUUUUGGCUAAGAGGAACUUGAUAUGAUUAAAUUUUUUCUACAAGAUUAAUAUUGUAAACGAAUUUUUAAAUGUAGGAGGCGAUCCCUUUCAGGAUUAGGGAGCACACUCUUGAUCUUUAUAUGGUGUGUGGAACAACAAUAUUAGUGAAACUACAUGUCCAUUAGCUAUGUGCUAUACCAUUGGCUCUGGAUGUAGUUGUAAUGUCACAAACAUGCCCGUGAAGCAAAAGUACAAUAAAUAAGCUUGCCUGGAAAGAAGGAAAGUUAUUCCGAAAGACAGCAAGCAGGCGAUCCAUUUUCUACGGUUUCUGCAAUGCUGGUUGCUAGAGUAGCAGGUACACGUAGUUGCAUGCCUCCAAGGAGUGGUGUCUUUUUGCUUUUACUAUGUCUACUUCAUAAUUUAUUCAAGGUCUACCUACUAAUAUAAGAGUAUAAAUCUUUUUUGAAGAGUGCCAUGUUGCUACUCUAGGGCAUUUUGUGAAUCAGAGUCUUAAUUGCUCCUCGAUUGUUCGUACCUUCUUGGCUUAGGCUUCCAACUGAACAACAUGGCCUUGCCGCC